GGCUCGGUGGCUUAGUGGUAAAGCGUGUGUUUGCAGUGCCUAAGAUCCGUGUUCGAAUCACCGUCGAACCU